CCAGCACUUUGGGAGUCUGAGGCAGGAGGAUCUCAAAUUCAAGCCAGCCUGGGCAACUUAGUGACUUAGCAAGACCCUGAGAAUAUGAAAAUAAAAAAGGGGUAGGGAGUGUAAUGUACACCCUGUGUACACCCUGGGAGUGUAGUGUACACCCUGGGUUCCAUCCUCAGUACAAAAACAAACAAACAAAAAACAAAGAACACCAUCUGUAUAGCCAAGACUUUCUCUCCUGGUGUACAAUUUUAUCAUUGCUAGGGAUUUAGCUCAGUGGUUCUGCUGCCUGCCUUGAAAGAACAAGGUCCCAAGUUUGAUCCCUGGUACCAAAAAGAAAAAAAAAUUUAUCACUUAUUCUCUGGGUUUCUCUUUGAGUAGAAAUUCUGCCUAGAAACAUCAUAGAUCACAACAGGGAAAGGUUUCAAUUUCAGUAGGGAAGGGCUGAUAGCCAACUUCUGGCCACCCCAAAUUCUAGAAUAAGGAAUAUUUAUUUUAUUAUGGAUGUCAGCAUGCAUUCUAGAAGUCAGAAUUUCCCUCAGGAAAUUGGUUCCAUUUCUUUAGAGGCAAGAUAUCUGGUAGAAAAUGCUUUUUGGUGAGGAAGGUGAGUGGGGUCGGGUCAUCAGCUGGUGCUGCUCACCUAUCUUGCAGACCUCCAACAAUUCCAAGUUCCCACCCCAGCUCUCCACUCUCAGCAGCCCAAGCAAGUAGGCUUGGAUGGCACAGCCCUCUUCAUAUUCUCUGUCUUUUUCCCUCUUUAUUCUCUACUUUUAUUUCAGUGGGAUUUGAAGGAGUGUGACUGGCCUUGCAGCAGGGUUCGUUUUCUUUUCUAUUUGUCCCAUGCAGCAAGCAUACAGAUUGAGAUGGUAAUGGCUGAUUCAUCAAAGUUAGUGGAAAUCUAAGAAUUAUUUACUGAAUCUCAGGAUUAUAUCUUUUUUUUUUUUUUGGUACUGAGGAUUGAACUCGGGUCCUGGCGCUUUCGAAGCAGGCGGCAGAACCACUGAGCUAAAUCCCCGGCCCUCAGGAUUAUAUCUUAAUACAGGGUGCUCAUUCUUUUUUUUUUUUGGUACCAGGGAUCAAACGUGGGACCUUGUGCUUUCAAGGCAGGCGGCGGCACCACUGAGCUAAAUCCCAGGCUCAUUAACACAGGGUGCUCAUUCUUAUCUCAGAGUUCUGGCUUCAAGAGCCCUGACCUCAGAGCUUCAGAGAGAGCUGGGAAACUGAGGGUGGAGACAGAGUUACUUCAAGAAAGAACAAGCUCCACUUCUGUGUAAGUCAGACUUUACCAGCUGGAGGGCUGACUGGCAACCUGAAGGGUUGGAGCUUAGGGCAUGUACAAGCUCUUGUGGCUGAAAAAACAAAAAUCAAUAAGUUUCUCAGCCCCAGAGCUGCUGGAAGCUUAAACCAGACUCCCUAGAGACUAUAUACUUUCUCUCGGUACCAGGGAUCGAACCCAGGACCUUGGCACAGUGCUACAUCCCCAGCCCCUGCACCUCAUUCUUCUUUCCUUGACUUUUUCUAAUUCUUGCUUAAUAUUUUUAGAAAAAAUCCUUUCUAAGGGCUGGGGAUGUAGUUCAUUGUAGGGCACUUGCCUAGCACACCCAAGACCCUGGUCUUGAUCUUAGUCCUGAAGUGGUGAGGAACGAAAGAGAGGCAAAUUACGACACCCUUGUUUUGACUUCUUUGUAGCAUUCCAUGAUGGAGGGAUAAGCCUCGGGCUCUACUCCUGGCCUAACACAGGGAUGAGUCUUAGGAUUCUACUGAGUGCUGGGCAGACAUGGCUUUGUCAGAAGGCUUGUGGGGAGGGACUUCAGGUAGCUCUGCUGUGUUUGCCUAGCAUGCAGAUCUGUAGCACUGGGAAAAAUAAAUAAAUAAUAGGAAAAGAAAAAUUACAAUAUUUAGCUGGUAAUAGUGGUGUAUGCCUGUGAUCUCAACUCUAGGGAAGCUGAGGCAGGAGUACUGCUGUGAGUUCGAGGCCAGACUGGGCUAUAGUGAGCUUAAGGCCAGCCUGGACUAUGUAGCAGAAACACUGUCUUCAAAAAACAAAAAAGAAUUAUAGUAUUUAUGUUUUACAAUGUUGGGGAGAUAGACAAUGCCCAAGUAAUCAAAUACAUCAUUACAAAUUGCCAUAACUAAGAAAAAAGGGCACAUGAAUAGAAACCAAGAGGAGUUGGGGAUCCUAAUUUUAAAAGAUGACCUGAGGGCCAGGGAUUUAGCUCAGUGGUGCCACCGCCUGCCUGGCAAGUGUAGGGACCCGAUCCUCUGUACAAAAAAAAAAAAAGAUGACCUGAAAAACUUCCUUGAAGUGACAUAAGCUGCUCCCGCCCGCGGGGGCUCAGAGUAUAGGGAAUAACUGUGUUGAGACCCUGAAGCAGAAGUUAAAGUUCAGCAGGUGCUGGAGCCCAGAGGAAGUGAGUGAGAAGAGAGAGGUCUGCCUAGAGCUCCACUCGCUCUGCUGUCAGCUGAAAUGGCGCCGCGUUCCCGAGCCAGGCCGUCGUGGGCACACGAGCAGGACGCGCCAUUUCUCACCUCUGCCCUCUCUGGCUGCAAGACGCCGAAGUCUCCACCAACUUCGAACUGCUUUGCUGAAAGAAGUGAACACAAUGGGGCUGGGGAUUUAGCUCAGUGGUUUCGCAGCCUGCUGCGCAAGCGCAAGGGCCCGAGUUCGAUCCCCGGUACCAAAAAAAAAAAAAAAAAGAAGUGAACACAAGACCUAA